UGGGGAAUUUUGGACAAUGGGGGAAACCCUGAUCCAGCCAUCCCGCGUGUGCGAUGAAGGCCUUCGGGUUGUAAAGCACUUUUGGCAGGAAAGAAACGUCGCGGGUUAAUACUCCGCGAAACUGACGGUACCUGCAGAAUAAGCACCGGCUAACUACGUGCCAGCAGCCGCGGUAAUACGUAGGGUGCAAGCGUUAAUCGGAAUUACUGGGCGUAAAGCGUGCGCAGGCGGUUCGGAAAGAAAGAUGUGAAAUCCCAGAGCUUAACUUUGGAACUGCAUUUUUAACUACCGGGCUAGAGUGUGUCAGAGGGAGGUGGAAUUCCGCGUGUAGCAGUGAAAUGCGUAGAUAUGCGGAGGAACACCGAUGGCGAAGGCAGCCUCCUGGGAUAACACUGACGCUCAUGCACGAAAGCGUGGGGAGCAAACAGGAUUAGAUACCCUGGUAGUCCACGCCCUAAACGAUGUCAACUAGCUGUUGGGGCCUUCGGGCCUUGGUAGGCGCAGCUAACGCGUGAAGUUGACCGCCU
rnacentral:rRNA from 1 species